UUCUACCCCCUGAUGGUUGCAACAAUUGAACUUUUGGAAUUGGAUAGAUGGUGGAACUUUCUUUUGCCGUUGGUGAGUGCAGUCUGUUGUCUUACCAUUUUCUAUACCAUAAAGGAAAGACAUAGGAGUACAUCAAAGCCUUUAUAGGAAUACUGGAACAUAUUAUUAAUCUAUUAUAUGUGCAGGAAACUCGUUCUCACCAUUUCUCUUUUCGGUAACAUCUCUGCUCCGUUCCCUGAACAGUGUUAUCAAAGGCGAAAAGCGCAAAAAAGCUCUAAGGUCUAUUGGGGCUUUAAGCGCAAAGCGGAGAUAAAGCAUGGGCUUUAAUGAAAAAAGGCGCAACUAGAGAAAAAGUAAAAAUAUGUAUAUGUAAUCCAAAACCAAUAAUCAUAAGCAUAAAUAACAAAUAUAUGGACAAAGAAAUUGAAAAAAAUUUACGACAAAGUGAAAUAUCAAUUGCUUAGUGUCGCCUUUUCAGGAUCACAUUCAUUGGCAAGGAAAAGUAUGCCUUAGAGCCUUGAUGCGACAUUGAAGCGCUCGCAAAGCUAGGCGAAGUGCUCAACCUGUUUUGAGCCUCGCUUCAGGGCUUAAGCGCGCGUUUGACAACACUGUCCCUGAACUGUUUAGUAUUGCUUUUGCCUCACCUUUAAUGUGUGAGUGUGGGAUGUAAUCUUAUUUAUUUUUACUGUAAUACUUUCAAGUUUGACAAAUAUUGCAUGUAAUAGGUACAACAAGGUGAUGUUGGUGGAAGUGAUGAAGUUCAUGAAGUGCAAUUCAAUAUAAAAAGGACAGACAUGUCCAAUGGCAUGCUGAAACAAAUGAGAGCCUCAAAAACAACAUUGUUCAGAAGGCUGUUAUUACCUCUUCACUGCUUUCUCUUUUAAAUAUCUCAAGAGCUUGGAUAUGUGUGGGCUCAUCGUAUUUCAAAGCUUAGAUAGAAAGAAAGAGGUCGUGUUGUUCUGAGAUGGAAAAACAUUCAUACUGACAGCAGAGCUAUGAUUUCCUCCUUAAUACUUCUGUAAACUAUAUGCAUAGCUGAAUGGGUUGAGGAAUGUGUUAGAUUUGCUCAUUCGCAGUUGUUAACACGGGGAUAAAUUGUUCAUGAACACGUUUUUGUAAGUAGCUAUUUUUUGUAACAGGUCAUUUUUCAUGUAAUACGUGUUAGUAUUCGAUUGAAUUUUUGGAGGAGAAUAAGUUGAGGUUUAAUAGUUCUUUUAAGAGAAAUGAGUCAGGGUGAUGCAAUACAGUUGUGGCUGCUCAGUUUCUUUGCUUGACAACAAAGAGAGUACUUCGUUUGCAUUACCAAAAACCUACUUAUAUUGGUUUUGUAAAGUUUUUGCCUUAAAGUUUUAGUAGAAAAUUGUCCCUCUGCAGUUUGACAUUACCAAAAUCAAUGGCUUCCUGAGGCCUCCUUUUGAUCUCUAUUCUCCAUUUGCUAAUCAUGAAAUGAAGUUGCAAUGCAUGUAAUAGAACUUUUGAUGCCAGC
rnacentral:lncRNA from 1 species